rnacentral:rRNA from 1 species
GACGAACGCUGGCGGCGUGCCUAAUACAUGCAAGUAGAACGCACAGUUUAUACCGUAGCUUGCUCCACCAUAGACUGUGAGUUGCGAACGGGUGAGUAACGCGUAGGUAACCUGCCUGGUAGCGGGGGAUAACUAUUGGAAACGAUAGCUAAUACCGCAUAAUAUUAAUUAUUGCAUGAUAAUUAAUUGAAAGGUGCAAUUGCACCACUACCAGAUGGACCUGCGUUGUAUUAGCUAGUAGGGGAGGUAACGGCUCACCUAGGCGACGAUACAUAGCCGACCUGGGAGGGUGAUCGGCCACACUGGGACUGAGACACGGCCCAGACUCCUACGGGAGGCAGCAGUAGGGAAUCUUCGGCAAUGGACGAAAGUCUGACCGAGCAACGCCGCGGGAGUGAAGAAGGGUUUCGGAUCGUAAAGCUCUGUUGUAAGAGAAGAACGGGUGUGAGAGUGGAAAGUUCACACUGUGACGGUAUCUUACCAGAAAGGGACGGCUAACUACGUG